AAUGAAGUGCCUGAUUAAAGGAUUAUCUUGAUAGGGUAAAUAAAGUGAACCUCACCUUCAUUA
rnacentral:tRNA from 1 species